UUAUGGACACGUGUUUCUUGUAUCUUUUCUUCACCGUUUUUUCCGCUCAAUCAGUGUUUGAUUGCUGUUAUUGUUUUCCGAUCUUUAUUUCACCGACAUUCCUUUUGUAUCUCUGUUUGUAUCUAUCUAUCGAUCUCUUCCCUUUUAUUCACAAUGAGUUCUUCCAGACACCACCACCAUUAUAGAUCGAUAACGACACUCGAUUGUCUUCAUCUUCGUCUUCAUAUCUUGGUUAGGAUUUCAGUCUGAUUUGUCUACUGUCUUCAUCUUCGUCUACAUCUUCUCCGUAUCUUGGUUAGGAUUUCAGUCCGAGAUAAAGAAUCGAUUGACAAAGAUGGAGUUCACCUUUUACCUUCGUUGAAUUUCAGUUAGGAACAGAUUGCGGUUUGCACGUUUGAUUCCCGUUGUCACACUCUAUUGCGCCACUCUAUCAAAGUCUAGGUCAAUCAUUUUCUCUUCCCCAUAUGUCUUAUAUUGUUUUUUUUUUCUGUCGUUUUUCUUUCAGAUUACAUUAUAUGAAAAGUUGUUUGGGUGAAGAAAUCAUAUACAGAAGUGUCAUCUUCUACAACGGCUUUAUGAUGCAUAUUACCUGUUUGAUAAAAUGUUUGAGAAAGAAGUCAGCCACAUAAUUGUUAUUUACAAUUAUCAAAGCAAUCAAUUGGUUUUUCGUUUGCUACCCCAUCACUCCCCCAAGUUUGCUUUCUCAUGGAUCAGAUCUUUGAGAUUAUUUUACCAAAAAAACAACAAAGAGGUAACAAAAAGUGAAUUCCCCCAAUGGAGGUAUUGCAUUUACAUAAUUACUUGCACUAUCUACCCCAAUGGUGUACGCUAUGUUGAGGUUUCCUAAAUGAUAUAUAAAAUCGACUUACCUUAUUAUGACAAUUUCAACAACAAGCUGGUAUUCUUUUUGCCUUUUCCUAUGUUUUGAAAUUUAGGGUUUUCCCACAAGAGGUUCAUGUUUUAAUUUAAACCACAUAAAUUAAUCACUUGAUUUUGAUUAUUUAUUGUGUAAAUCUUUUAUAACUGUAGGAUAUAAUUUCCGUUUCCAUUUUGCAAGAAAUAACAACCUGAUUUCAUUCAUUUGUCUAAUAAAGAAAGAAAUACAUAUAAAAUUUCAUUUUAGAAUAAAUUUUGUCAAAUAAACAUUGGUGUUUUAGCAUAUGUUUACAAGACUUGGAAUGUAUGCAGAAAAUUGCACUUUACAAUGUAUUUUUACAAGUUUUUUGUAUAUUUUCCUUUUUUUCUUCUGGAAACUACAAUUGCAAGGAAACAUGUCAAAAAAAAAACAUAUCAGGUCAAUCUAGCUUUGUAGUGUUUUUUAUUUUAAAAUUUAUUGGAAAAAACUAUGUUGGUAACAAAUGUUAUAGCAAUCAAGUUGUUCAAAAACGAUUUUACAGUUCUAGGACCAUAUCGCCCCUGCACACUGUUUUUUUAUUAUUAAAAUUCAUUUUUUACAGUUUUAGGACCAUAUUGCCCCUGCACAGUGUUUUUUAUAUUAAAAAAAUUCAAAUUUUAUAGUUUUAGGACGAUAUUGCCCCUGCACACUGUUUUUAUAUUAAUAAAAUUCAAUUUCUAUAGUUUUAGGACGAUAUUGCCCAUGCACUCGGUUUUUAUUAUUAAAAAAAAAUUAAUUUCUACAUUUUUAGGACAAUAUUGCCCCUGAACACUUUAUAUUAAUAAAACUGAUUUUUUUUUACAGUUUUAGGACCAUAUUGCCCCUGCACACUGUUAUUAUAUUAAUGAAAUUCAAUUCUUAAAGUUUCAGGACCAUAUUGCCCCUCCACACUGUUUUUAUUAGGUAGAUUUUGAAGCUACAAUGUUGAAUAGAAAGAAGUGAAGAUUAGUCUUGCGGGCCCAGACAAGAAUAAAUUGCCACAUCUGAUGAGAUGGAUGGAUUAUAUUCAGAUCUGUUCGAUUUUCCCAUUGACAUCGACUGAGACCAAACAUCUAAAUAGAAUAUCAAGGAAAAUGAGGUGAAAAAAGCAUUCAUAGCAUCGGCACACCUAACAGCUAAAUUCAAUAGAAAAUGUCGACUUUUCACAUUCUCACGUAGACGAUUAUCGCAACAACUUGAGCUGCUAAAAACCUAAAAACACCGCAAACCUUUCGGAAAUAGUUUAGUUAAAAUCCGACCCCCGCAACGCGGGGUCACUUUUCUAGUUUGUAUUAAAUAAAAUAUAGUAAUUCUUAAGAUACGAGACCUUGACAUCUUUAUUUCUUAGUUAUUGUUUUUUUUAGCUUUUAUUUUUUUUAAUUACAUUUUUUGUGAAAUAGAUAAAUCGAACUUGUUGAUCAAAUUUAUGUUCAAAUAUCAUAUCCAGCAUCAUCUUAUUUGUAUUAUUUACAUGUUUUCCGAUUAUAUUUCACAUCCAACCGUCUUUUUUAUAUUAAUUACAAAAUAGAUCCUUAACUCUUAGAAUUGUAUAUUUAGGGGUGUGCUAAUAUCUUGUUUUACAAGAGUCUCAUUGUUUUUUAUUAUUCACAUUCAAGCGUCUUUCUAUGCGUUAAUAACUUUUAAUAGGUAUAUAUUCAUAUUUAUUUAUUUUUGUUUUUUCUAACAUUUUUGGGGUGUAAUAUUGUGUAAUUAACAUUUUGUUUUUUGCUUUUUUAUUUUGUUUUGUGUUUAGUGAUUGUACUAAUUUAUGGCCCAUAUAUAGCGUUUUUUAUAAUAUUAAUAAUGUUUUUCCUAUUAAAAAAAAGAUGUACCACGAAUUGUAAGUAAUAAAUAAUAAAAAUAAUUAUUUCCGAGCAUGAGAAAUUAAUGGACAUGUUAUGUCCUGAGGUUCUCG